rnacentral:rRNA from 1 species
UACGUAGGUGACCAGCGUUGUCCGGAUUUACUGGGCGGAAAGAGCGCGCAGGCGGUCGUUCAAGUCGCGUGUGAAAGCCCCCGGCUCAACUGGGGAGGGUCACGCGAUACUGAUCGACUCGAAGGCAGGAGAGGGAAGUGGAAUUCCCGGUGUAGUGGUGAAAUGCGUAGAUAUCGGGAGGAACACCAGUGGCGAAGGCGACUUCCUGGCCUGUUCUUGACGCUGAGGCGCGAAAGCGUGGGGAGCAAACAGG